rnacentral:tRNA from 1 species
UCUAAUAUGGCAGAAUAGUGUAGUGGAUUUAAAAACCAUUCAUAAAGAAAUAUCUUUUUUUAGAA